GAUGUCAUUUUUGAAGUAUGCA
rnacentral:miRNA from 1 species